rnacentral:rRNA from 1 species
CGUAGGUGCAAGCGUUGUCCGGAAUUAUUGGGCGUAAAGAGCUCGUAGGCGGUCUGUCGCGUCGGCUGUGAAACUCGGGGCUCAACCCCGAGCCUGCAGUCGAUACGGGCAGACUAGAGUGCUGUAGGGGAGACUGGAAUUCCUGGUGUAGCGGUGAAAUGCGCAGAUAUCAGGAGGAACACCGGUGGCGAAGGCGGGUCUCUGGGCAGUAACUGACGCUGAGGAGCGAAAGCGUGGGAGCGAACAGGAUU